rnacentral:rRNA from 1 species
UACGUAGGGGCCGAGCGUUGUCCGGAGUUACUGGGCGUAAAGGGCGUGCAGGCGGUCGACUAAGUCUGGCGUGAAAGCUCUCGGCUAAACCGGGAGAGGUCGUUGGAUACUGGUUGACUAGAGGACGGUAGAGGCGUGUGGAAUUCCGGGUGUAGUGGUGAAAUGCGUAGAGAUCCGGAGGAACACCAGUGGCGAAGGCGACACGCUGGGCCGUACCUGACGCUGAUACGCGACAGCAUGGGGAGCGAACGGG